CAGCCGCCACGGUAAUACGUAGGUGGCGAGCGUUGUCCGGAAUCAUUGGGCGUAAAGGGAGCGCAGGCGGGCAUGUAAGUCUUUCUUAAAAGUGCGGGGCUCAACCCCGUGAUGGGAAAGAAACUACAUGUCUUGAGUACAGGAGAGGAAAGCGGAAUUCCCAGUGUAGCGGUGAAAUGCGUAGAUAUUGGGAGGAACACCAGUGGCGAAGGCGGCUUUCUGGACUGCAACUGACGCUGAGGCUCGAAAGCCAGGGGAGCGAACGGGAUUAGAGACCCCCGUAGUCCCUGUCUCUUAUACA
rnacentral:rRNA from 1 species